ensembl:misc_RNA Metazoa_SRP Metazoan signal recognition particle RNA
GCCAGGUGCAGUUGUGCGUUCCUGUAGUCCCAGCUACUCGGGAGACUGAGGUUGGAGGAUCUCUUGAGUCCGGGAGUUCUGGGCUGUAGUGCGCUAAGCUGAUCGGGUGUCCACACUAAGUUUGGCAUCAAUAUGGUGACCUCCCAGGAGCGGGGGGCCACCAGGUUGCCUAAGGAGGGGUGAACCGGCCCAGGUUGGAAACAGAGCAGGUCAAAAUACCCGUGCUGAUCAGUAGUGGGAUCACGCCUGUGAAUAGCCAUUGCACUCCAGCCUGGGCAACAUAGCGAGACCCCAUCUCUA